rnacentral:rRNA from 1 species
UGCGCAGGCGGUUAUAUAAGCCUGGUGUGAAAUACUGCAGCUUAACUGCAGAACCGCACUGGGAACUGUAUGACUGGAGUUCGAGAGGGGAAGCUGGAAUUCCUGGUGUAGGGGUGAAAUCUGUAGAUAUCAGGAAGAACAUCAGUGGCGAAGGCGAGCUUCUGGCUAUGAACUGACGCUGAGGCGCGAAAGCGUGGGGAGCAAACAGGAUUAGAUACCCUGGUAGUCC